ensembl:lncRNA
AUUUGUACUGAGGAGAUUGUGACAUUGUUCUUUCUCUCCGGGCUCAAAAUACAAGCCUUUCCUGUUGAGUGAAGCGUCAGCUGCUGCGAGAGUGUGUGCACUUUCACCUGAAGGCCGCUUAUGCAAUUGAGGCCGUUGACUUUGAGGACAGACGCCAGACGGGGUUCUCAGGGUCACGAAAACAAGGAAGAAGGGUG